rnacentral:rRNA from 1 species
CCUACGGGUGGCUGCAGUGGGGAAUAUUGCACAAUGGGGGAAACGCUGAUGCAGCGACGCCGCGUGAGUGAAGAAGGAAUUCGGUAUGUAAAGCUCUGUCAGCAGGGAAGAAAAUGACGGUACCUGAGCAAGAAGCCCCGGCUAACUACGUGCCAGCAGCCGCGGUAAUACGUAGGGGGCAAGCGUUAUCCGGAUUUACUGGGUGUAAAGGGAGCGUAGACGGCAGGGCAAGUCUGGAGUGAAAGGCGGGGGCUCAACCCCCGGACUGCUCUGGAAACUGCCAGGCUGGAGUGCAGGAGAGGUAAGUGGAAUUCCUAGUGUAGCGGUGAAAUGCGUAGAUAUUAGGAGGAACACCAGUGGCGAAGGCGGCUUACUGGACUGUAACUGACGUUGAGGCUCGAAAGCGUGGGGAGCAAACAGGAUUAGAUACCCCUGUAGUC